rnacentral:tRNA from 1 species
GGGGCUGUAGCUCAGCUGGGAGAGCGUCUGGUUCGCAAUCAGAAGGUCGGGGGUUCGAUCCCCCCCAGCUCCACCA